CUAAUACCGCAUGAUACCCUGAGGGGUCAAAGGCGACACGUCCGCGUAGGAGGAGCCUGCGUCUGAUUAGGUAGUUGGUGGGGUAAAGGCCUACCAAGCCUGCGAUCAGUAGCUGGUCUGAGAGGAUGAUCAGCCACAUUGGGACUGAGACACGGCCCAAACUCCUACGGGAGGCAGCAGUGGGGAAUAUUGGACAAUGGGCGCAAGCCUGAUCCAGCAAUGCCGCGUGGGUGAAGAAGGUCUUCGGAUUGUAAAGCCCUUUUGGCAGGGACGAUGAUGACGGUACCUGCAGAAUAAGCUCCGGCUAACUUCGUG
rnacentral:rRNA from 1 species